GAAGUGAUGAAGAGCGUAGCAACUGGCGACAGACCAUGCUGAUCGAAGACACCGUACCGCACAGUACCGUAUCGUAGAG
rnacentral:rRNA from 13 species